AAGGAAUUAGUUAAACUAUAACUUUAGUAUGUCAUACUAACAUUAUUAAUAAAUAUUAAUAUUCUUUA
rnacentral:tRNA from 1 species